CGCAGUUUCUUUCCCAGAUAACACUGAAUAAUUUCUUAAAAAGAAAUCCCUGAAAGAAUCAGAUGGUCAGGUAAAGUGCUGUCCACGCAGGGAGGACCUGGGACAAGACACCCAUGAUCUCCUUACUGCGAGGCAGCAGAAGUACCACUUGCACCACAGGGGUCACCACAGCGGAUCAUCUGUCUCCUAUCCCUGUCUUUUACAUUGUUUUGUGCCACACCAACAGUCCUCAUGUCCGCCCCCACCACAACCAUAAACCUCCUUUCUGGCCUUCCUCUUUUCAUCUUGACUGGCAGUUCCAUAAUAUAAAAUGCUGUACCAUAAAAAUAAAGAGCUAUAAAAAGAAGUCAAUAUGGCAAAAAGAGACACACAUCUGUCAAAACUGUAAGAACA